CACUGAUGACGUCAUCCGACGGCGCCGAUCCACGGAAUCAUUUAGCGCCGGCUGAGUGCACACAUGGGGCUUCUUCCACACUGUAAAGCUUCCACUGUUCCCAUGGUGAUGGGUCACUUUACAUAAAAUUCCACGCCCCCCUCUGACGCUGGGUCGCCGGCGCUGGCCAGCGCCAAUGACGUCAUCGGGUCUCUGCGGGCGCCGUGGACGGACUGUACACGCGGUGUUUGUUUCCACGGCAUUAAGCAGUCACCUGGAGGACGCAAUUUGCAGCGCUCACAGCCGUCAGUGAUACUAAGCGCUACACUGAAUAACGGCUGAAAGGUUUGCUUUGCAGAACUGCGAUCCCGUUAUUAGAGCGAGAAGUCACCAGGGGACUCCGAGAGUCGCUGACUGUGUCCGCCGAAGCGUCAGCUGCUCGAAGGAAAAACUUUUCAUUUUAUUAAGAAUAAUA